CUCUCGGCAACGGAUAUCUCGGCUCUCGCAUCGAUGAAGAACGUAGCGAAAUGCGAUACUUGGUGUGAAUUGCANAAUCCCGUGAAUCAUCGAGUCUUUGAACGCAAGUUGCGCCCGACGCCAUUCGGCCGAGGGCACGUCUGCCUGGGUGUCACGCAUCGUUGC
rnacentral:rRNA from 1 species